rnacentral:misc_RNA from 1 species
UUAAGUUCAGCGGGUAGUCCUACCUGAUUUGAGGUCAGAAUAUAAAGUGUAUUAGAGUGGAGGGUUGCGAGAACUUAUUACGCAUUCCACUUAGACAUUUAAGGCGAGCCAAAUGAUGGCAAACACCCAAAGCACAACUAUAGAAAACUAUAGAGGUGAGGUUUAUAAGACACUCAAACAGGCAUGCCCUUCGGAAUACC